rnacentral:rRNA from 2 species
UUCCCUACGGGGGAGGAGCAGUAGGGAAUCUUCCACAAUGGGCGCAAGCCUGAUGGAGCAACACCGCGUGAGUGAAGAAGGGUUUCGGCUCGUAAAGCUCUGUUGUUAAAGAAGAACACGUAUGAGAGUAACUGUUCAUACGUUGACGGUAUUUAACCAGAAAGUCACGGCUAACUACGUGCCAGCAGCCGCGGUAAUACGUAGGUGGCAAGCGUUAUCCGGAUUUAUUGGGCGUAAAGAGAGUGCAGGCGGUUUUCUAAGUCUGAUGUGAAAGCCUUCGGCUUAACCGGAGAAGUGCAUCGGAAACUGGAUAACUUGAGUGCAGAAGAGGGUAGUGGAACUCCAUGUGUAGCGGUGGAAUGCGUAGAUAUAUGGAAGAACACCAGUGGCGAAGGCGGCUACCUGGUCUGCAACUGACGCUGAGACUCGAAAGCAUGGGUAGCGAACAGGAUUAGAUACCCUGGUAGUCCAUGCCGUAAACGAUGAGUGCUAGGUGUUGGAGGGUUUCCGCCCUUCAGUGCCGGAGCUAACGCAUAAGCACUCCGCCUGGAUAACGACCGGCACGGG